CCUACGGGUGGCAGCAGUGGGGAAUAUUGCACACUGGGCGCAAGCCUGAUGCAGCCAUGCCGCGUGUGUGAAGAAGGCCUUCGGGUUGUAAAGCACUUUCAGCGGGGAGGAAGGCGUUAAGGUUAAUAACCUUGGCGAUUGACGUUACCCGCAGAAGAAGCACCGGCUAACUCCGUGCCAGCAGCCGCGGUAAUACGGAGGGUGCAAGCGUUAAUCGGAAUUACUGGGCGUAAAGCGCACGCAGGCGGUCUGUCAAGUCGGAUGUGAAAUCCCCGGGCUCAACCUGGGAACUGCAUUCGAAACUGGCAGGCUAGAGUCUAGUAGAGGGGGGUAGAAUUCCAGGUGUAGCGGUGAAAUGCGUAGAGAUCUGGAGGAAUACCGGUGGCGAAGGCGGCCCCCUGGACAAAGACUGACGCUCAGGUGCGAAAGCGUGGGGAGCAAACAGGAUUAGAUACCAGGGUAGUC
rnacentral:rRNA from 1 species